rnacentral:rRNA from 1 species
AUUGAACGCUGGCGGCAGGCCUAACACAUGCAAGUCGAGCGGAUGACGGGAGCUUGCUCCUUGAUUCAGCGGCGGACGGGUGCGUAAUGCCUAGGAAUCUGCCUGGUAGUGGGGGAAAACGUUUCGAAAGGAACGCUAAUAACGCAUACGUCCUACGGGAGAAAGCAGGGGACCUUCGGGCCUUGCGCUCUCAGAUGAGCCUAGGUCGGAUUAGCUAGUUGGUGAGGUAAUGGCUCACCAAGGCGACGAUCCGUAACUGGUCUGAGAGGAUGGUCGGUCACACUGGAACUGAGGCACGGUCCAGACUCCUACGGGAGGCAGCAGUGGGGAAUAUUGGACAAUGGGCGAAAGCCUGAUCCAGCCAUGCCGCGUGUGUGAAGAAGGUCUUCGGAUUGUAAAGCACUUUAAGUUGGGAGGAAGGGCAGUAAGUUAAUACCUUGCUGUUUUGACGUUACCGACAGAAUAAGCACCGGCUAACUCUGUGCCAGCAGCCGCCGUAAUAC